AAAGGCUGGAACAACAAAUGAAUACAGGAAUGAUGCUAAUAUAAAAAUACAAACCCUAAAUUUUCUUUAUAUAUUUUGAGGGUAAGCUAGUUUCAGAUUUUUCUCUAAGGUUUUGUAGGAAGAGAAAAAUUGGUCACACUAACGCCAUUUUAAAAUAUGCCCCCAUCUGUAAGAGGCAGAGCCACCUGAGGUGAAAAGGUAAACGGCUUGUGUAAGAUUUGGCUGAAAGUCCAGAAAUUAACUCAAGUCCUGGAACAUGUCCUGGGACACUCCCCCGGAACGAUUGUUCAAGUCCUGGAGUACGUUUCGGAACGCUGCUCCCGGAACACCGCUCCUGGAGCGAUUGUUUCAAUGUUGCUUGCUCGGAAUGGCCCUCCUGAGCAAACAACAGACGGUGCUCAAAGUAACAACUGGACUUAAUAAAAGGAGCUUACACGAAGGAGGAGCUGAAGGCUGCUGUGGUCGUGUGCUGGGGGCUGCCCCAGCUCCAGCUGCAGGACCCCGGCCGUCUGCCUUCCGACUCCGGUGAUGAUUCUUCCUGCGGUCUGAUCAAGAUUCUAUGCAGUUAACUUUGUAUCCAAGGAUCUAUAGCCAAGAAAUUUGGAGCUCAGUUUCAAACAUGAACCAGAGUUAAGCGGGCCCUCCAUUUCCUGGCCACACAUUGUCAAUGUGGAAGAUCUCUGGCCAUGAGUUAAAGGUCACCCACGAUACCAAAUUGCAAAUUGUGUUGAGAAUGGAGAGCAUUUGCAAAGCUGGAAUGAAUACACAAAACAUGUUUAUUUACAUCACUCAGGGUCACAAUUGGCUUCAAUGUAUAGCCUCGCCAAGCAUUACAGCAGAGAAGCUUUUGUGCAAAGUGAGCGGAGCACCAGAAGAAAUCUUAAAAGUUUGAGAAGAAAAUAUGGUAAAUAACUAAGAGAAAUCUCUGGUCAAUACUCAACAAGUCCUUCAGUCCAACAAUAUUCCAUACAUGAAAUCCUGCCAAAAACCAGACUCAGCACCAAACACACGAGAUGAAACAUAAGAUGCAUAAACACAACCCUUGCCUUUGAAGAAAAUUUGCACUAAUGGCAGAGAUGGGUGCUGUAUGAGUGAGCUGUGGCUGCCAUAGCAAGACAUCAUAGAUUGGAUGGCUUAAACAACAGAAAUUUAUUUUUUCACAGUUCUGGAGGCCAGAAAUCCCCAAUAAAGGUCUUCAGGCUGUUGUCAUUUGAACUAGAACACAACCAUGAGCCCUCCUGGGUCUCCAGCCUGUUGGCCAACACAGCAGAUUUUGGACUUGCCAGUCUCCAUUAUCAUUUUAUUCUGGUGGUCUUCGAACGGAGUCAACUGCUGACAAUUUUAGAGUGCUGACCAAAAUUCAGUUGAGACACCUUUGCUACCGUGGUUCAAGACCCUUGACUCAGAAAGUCAACUACUCUGAAGCCCUGGAGCUUUUUACUAAGGACUCUUCAUGACCAUGUGAUGCUCUCCCUUACAGAAGGACA
rnacentral:lncRNA from 1 species